AGUGAACGCUGGCGGUAGGCCUAACACAUGCAAGUCGAACGGCAGCACAGUAAGAGCUUGCUCUUACGGGUGGCGAGUGGCGGACGGGUGAGGAAUACAUCGGAAUCUACUUUUUCGUGGGGGAUAACGUAGGGAAACUUACGCUAAUACCGCAUACGACCUACGGGUGAAAGUAGGGGAUCUUCGGACCUUGCGCGAUUGAAUGGGCCGAUGUCGGAUUAGCUAGUUGGCGGGGUAAAGGCCCACCAAAGCGACGAUCCGUAGCUGGUCUGAGAGGAUGAUCAGCCACACUGGAACUGAGACACGGUCCAGACUACUACGGGAGGCAGCAGUGGGGAAUAUUGGACAAAGGGCGCAAGCCUGAUCCAGCCAUACCGCGUGGGUGAAGAAGGCCUUCGGGUUGUAAAGCCCUUUUGUUGGGAAAGAAAAGCAGCAGGUUAAUACCCCGCUGUUCUGACGGUACCCAAAGAAUAAGCACCGGCUAACUUCGUG
rnacentral:rRNA from 1 species